AAAAAGGCAAACCCUGGGUUUCCGUGUCCAACUUUGACUGUCCGUUUUAUAUGAAAUUUUUUUAUAAUUCAUAUUUUUAUUGUUGUUAGAUGAUAAAACAUGAUUAAUAUUUUAUGCAUGACUUGUCUUUUUAAUUUUUUUCAUAAUUUUUUCAAAUAAGACAGACAUUCAAACGUUAGACACGGAAAUCAGGGUUUUUCUUUUU
rnacentral:pre_miRNA from 1 species